UGUAAUCAAUGCAUUACCAAUCGAAACAUUUACAUUUUUUAAAAAAUAAUUGCUAAUUUUAAAAUGUUUACAGAAUGUUCGGGGUACUCGUUAACAAUUUUUUUUAAUACUUUAUUUAUGUGGUUUUGGGUAGAGAAGACAUUGUUCUUGCUCCUAGAUAGAGAUAUACCUUACAUGCAACGGGUGUGCAUUUUUUUUUUUAAAUCAGCAAAUUAGAAGAGUACAAGUAAUACUCAACAAAUAUACAACCAUGAACAAUUUUUUUUUGGGGAAAGUUCA
rnacentral:lncRNA from 1 species